UAUGCACCUGGCCGGGGUAUGUCAUUUAAAACCACAGCCUACUAAGGAGGGUGCAUUCUCUUAGGUAUCACUUCUUUUGUCUGCUGGGAGCCCGAUAAAAGUUUGGAAGAAGGAGCUGUGAUCCUGAAUGGAUUUUCAUGGAAAUCAAUGGGAACAACUUUCCUGUUUGGAUCAGAGCAAGGCAGAGCUAAGAAGGCACAAGCAGAAAAGGAGGUGCAGAGGCAGAAGGACCAAGAGAAUACAAGCUCAGGAUUUCACAGGUUUCUUUGGAGCUCCUGCAUCAAGACUGACGGUCUCUCGCUGACUCGCUACGUCAUCACAUCAGGAGUCAAUGAAAGAGCGAGGGGGGAUUGUUCGCCGGUGCCUGGCACAGAGCGGAACAUCAAGCGUGGUCU